CCGAGUUAUACAACUCAUCAAACCCUGUGAACAUACCUAUAACGUUGCCUCGGCGGGAACAGACGGCCCCGUAACACGGGCCGCCCCCGCCAGAGGACCCCCUAACUCUGUUUCUAUAAUGUUUCUUCUGAGUAAACGAGCAAAUAAAUUA
rnacentral:misc_RNA from 1 species